rnacentral:rRNA from 1 species
UACGAAGGGGGCUAGCGUUGCUCGGAAUCACUGGGCGUAAAGCGCACGUAGGCGGCUUGUUAAGUCAGGGGUGAAAUCCUGGAGCUCAACUCCAGAACUGCCUUUGAUACUGGCGAGCUUGAGUCCGGGAGAGGUGAGUGGAACUGCGAGUGUAGAGGUGAAAUUCGUAGAUAUUCGCAAGAACACCAGUGGCGAAGAAGGCUCACUGGCCCGGUACUGACGCUGAGGUGCGAAAGCGUGGGGAGCAAACAGG